rnacentral:rRNA from 1 species
UUCCGGUUGAUCCUGCCGGACCCGACUGCUAUCAGAGUGGGACUAAGCCAUGCGAGUUAACGUAGCAAUACGUGGCAUACGGCUCAGUAACACGUAGUCAACAUGCCCAGAGGACGUGGACAACCUCGGGAAACUGAGGAUAAACCGCGAUAGCUCAUGAUUCCUGGAAUGGUUCAUGGCCGAAAUCUAUAUGGCCUUUGGAUUGGACUGCGGCCGAUCAGGCUGUUGGUGAGGUAAUGGCCCACCAAACCUGUUACCGGUACGGGCUCUGAGAGGAGGAGCCCGGAGAUGGGCACUGAGACAAGGGCCCAGGCCCUAUGGGGCGCAGCAGGCGCGAAACCUCUGCAAUAGGCGAAAGCUUGACAGGGUUACUCUGAGUGAUUUCCGCUAAGGGGAUCUUUUGGCACCUCUAAAAAUGGUGCAGAAUAAGGGGUGGGCAAGUCUGGUGUCAGCCGCCGCGGUAAUACCAGCACCCCGAGUGGUCGGGACGAUUAUUGGGCCUAAAGCAUCCGUAGCCGGUUCUGCAAGUCUUCCGUUAAAUCCAGCCGCUCAACGGAUGGGCCGCGGAGGAUACUACAGGACUAGGAGGCGGGAGAGGCAAGCGGUACUCAGUGGGUAGGGGUAAAAUCCUUUGAUCCAUUGAAGACCACCAGUGGCGAAGGCGGCUUGCCAGAACGCGCUCGACGGUGAGGGAUGAAAGCUGGGGGGGCAAACCGGAUUAGAUACCCGGGUAGUCCCAG